GUCCGAGACUACAGCGCCUCUAAGACUCGGCCGAAAAAUCACUAAAAAAAUCCCAAAAAUUUACUGAGAGCAAAGGGCACUUGGCGGAGCCUCGUCAGGGUUGGCGCAGCGGGUUUUGACCUUUAGGAGAGAGCCAGUUCUGGAGAACAAGCUAACUUCUUUGAUUGAACAUAUAAUGCAUUGGAACAUAAUAGGAGAUUAAGGUUAUUAACAAUAAAAUGAAGACUAUAGUAUAACAAGCCCCCUACUUAGCCCUGCAGUUCUUACCUAGUAAGUAUUAACUGGCAGCCCUCCUACCAUUGCUAUAAAAAAGUUACUGUUUGGCAUUAUGCUUUGGUUUAUUUCAGAAUUUUUUCCUACUAUCCUAGAAUGACAACUUUCUAACUUUUCUGGCCCCCAACAUGUUGAAGUUUGAUGUUAACUUUCUCCAUUUUAGAGCACAAGUAAUGCCAUUGCCUUGGGUAAGUUUUCUGUCUUGGAAAGGAUUUUACAGCUCAGCCCUCUCAUCCCUAUAUCUGAGAAUGAUAAUUUUAAACCCUUUUCCUUCAAAGGAACUUACAAAUAAGUAGUAGUCUACUUAUUGUCAUCAUUAUUCAGGUUUACUAACAGUUAUUUUGUGGUUUUAGAAAUUGGAAUGUUCUCUCCACCUGAUAGUUUUUUUCAUUUAUCCUACAUUUCACUAGAUUAUACUUCUGACUUCUUGUGACGUGCUUAAAAUUUAGCUGUUAAACUUCAAGGGGUGGGAAAAACAGGAAGGCAAUCCCUUUUCCUUCCUUUUAUAUAUACACAUGCGCACCUCCUUCUUAGAAUAAGAAACAUUUUUACCUUGAUUCAUUUUACUUUUGAGAAACUUACAAAUGCUAAGGGAAUAAUCUAAUAGAUUAGCUAAAAUUAAUAUUAUAUUCCUAGAAAAACUGUCGAAAACAAGGUUAUGAUAAAUGCCCAAUAUACUUAUUUCCUUAAAUUUGAGACACUGAAAUCAGCUACCAAAAAGGUUAGUUAUCAUGUAUUCCUUCAGUUAAUUUUACAUUUGUAAACAAAAAAUUCAAGUGCUCCUGUUUUUGUUCUUGAUAUUGAGGGAUGGCCCUAUUUAAAUGAAAACUAGUGCUUCAGAUGCUUCUCUUACAUUACCUCAUACCAUUGCAUUAAGGACCCAGUAAAUAAUGUGUAUGUGUCAAGGAGUGACUUUAUUAUCAUAGAUUAGCCAUUGAACUCAAUAAUUAGUUUUUAGGGUAGGAAUGAAUUAAAUAUUGAAAAUAUUAUAAUAAGCCAGUUUGAAGAGUAGUAGCCAAAUGCCAUAGAUCACUUCUUUUUCUGAUUUUUCCUUUUAUAUUUUUGUUUCUGGAAAACUAGAAUGGAAACCUUUGCAAAUCCCCAAAGAA